ACUCCUACGGGAGGCAGCAGUAAGGAAUAUUGCGCAAUGGGCGAAAGCCUGACGCAGCGACGCCGCGUGGGGGAUGAAGGUCUUCGGAUUGUAAACCCCUUUCGGCAGGGAAGAUGGAAUGGGUAACCAUUCGGACGGUACCUGCAGAAGCAGCCACGGCUAACUUCGUGCCAGCAGCCGCGGUAAUACGAAGGUGGCAAGCGUUGUUCGGAUUUACUGGGCGUACAGGGAGCGUAGGCGGUUGGGUAAGCCCCUUGUGAAAUCUCCGGGCCUAACCCGGAAAGUGCAGGGGGGACUGCUCGGCUAGAGGAUGGGAGAGGAGCGCGGAAUUCCCG
rnacentral:rRNA from 1 species